UACGUAGGGGGCAAGCGUUGUCCGGAAUCAUUGGGCGUAAAGCGCGUGUAGGCGGCUUGGUAAGUCCGCUCUGAAAGCCCGGGGCUCAACCCCGGGAGGCGGGUGGAUACUGUCAAGCUCGAGUCCGGAAGAGGCGAGUGGAAUUCCUGGUGUAGCGGUGAAAUGCGUAGAUAUCUGGAGGAACACCGGUGGCGAAGGCGGCAUCCUGGACCGGCAUUGACGCUGAGGCGCGAAAGCCAGGGGAGCAAACGGG
rnacentral:rRNA from 1 species